UUUUCUUCUCCCUAGUUUUAGGCACAAGGAGAACACUGGGACCCAGCAUUUUUGGUGUCUAUUUUGGGCAGAAGCCUGGUGGCCGCUUGUGGAGUGAGAAGAAAACUGAGAACCAGAGCCAAUUUUGCUGAGUUCAUCUGAAGGGAAGGAGAAUCAUAAGGUAGUCCUUGGAGACAUGUUGGGUGACAGGGAGUUUCCUUAAGAGUAAAGAAACUUGAACAAGUUUAAAUGAAAUGUUGCUUCUAUAAAUGCUGAGUGGGAGAGUCAAAUGAAAAGGGAGAGGCUGAAUAUUGUGCAGUGAGAAGUGAUUAUACCAAGAGAAGGCUGAGGAUGUGUCAGGAGGAUGCUAAGUGAGUGGACAGAGAGAUUACCUCAGGAGAAAUGGCAUCACUUCAGUAUAAUCAUAGAAGUGAGGGAUACCACCGGUAAGGAGGAUGAGAUCCUUGGGAGCUACGGAACAAAGAACACUGCUGAGGAGCCACACAAUCUUCUCCCUCCCAAUCCUUCAUCCAUGACUGUUUUCUGUCUCUCUUUCAGCCUCACAAA
rnacentral:lncRNA from 1 species